rnacentral:misc_RNA from 1 species
UUAAAAAAAAAAAAUAAAAUUAAAAAGAACCAAAAUCAGAGAACGUUCAUUUUCUAUAUUACAAAACAUAUCUAAGCAAAUCACACCUAUAUAUAACAUUAUGAUAAUGCGAUAUUUAUUAUUUUACAUAAAAACUGAUAACACCGUUAAAUUUAACCGCGAAACACGUGUUCUUCACCUGACUUUUCAUCUACAAACCUAAUCCAACGGUUAGGGCUCCUCUUUGAAUUCGCACCUCCACCACUACUCCCUAUAUUCGCAAUAUCCAAUCCUUUCCCAACCGGCAAAGACACGGAUCUAACUACACGUGUCCCUCUCUCAAGCACCCAAUGCCAUCUAAACCCAGAAAGGUUGCUCUGAUAAGCGUUCUUGCGUACCAAAACAGCGCCUUUAUGGCUCAACUUAGCGAACCUCAAAAACCUAAAAAAAUCCCUCCUUUUACAAUCCACCACCAAAAAAUCCACCCCUGAAAGCCCCGCCAUCACCUCCUCCACAUCCCCUACGAUCACCUCCGUCUUCGUCAUGCCAGCCCCUUGCAUGGAUUUUGCAUACUCCGAUCGUGACCGUUCAUCUGGGACUAAGCACACGUGUCUGCCGCAAGUGUGAUUUGCAGCAACGGCUAGGCCGAUGCUCGUGGCCGUUGGACUUCCGUGAGACCAUGAUUCUACUAUGAGGGUGGCAUUCCAGCCGGCAGCCAAGGCGGAGAGGAGCUCAGGUACGCCAGAUUCUUUGAGAUUCUCACACUGCACUCAUCGAUCAAAUAAUCUAUAAAUAUGAGUAAUAAAAGUGAAUGAAAGAGAAAUAGAAAUGGGAAAUAUAUAAAUAUAGUUAUAUAUCUUACUGAUUUAACAGUGUAAAUAUAAGCAUUUAAAGCUGUAUCUGGAGACCAAACCAGCUUCAUAUUUCUCUGCAUAUCACGUAGGUGUAGUGUUCCUUGUUGAAGGUUGGAGACCUGAGAAUUAAGGGCUCGUCCAAGUGAUGUAGGAGCUGUUUGGCUUUUAAAUGGAUUUGACAGAGGUUUGUUGGUUUUCUGCAGCCGUUGACAUUUUUAACUGCGCAUGCAAUUGGAUUUAAUGCAUGGCCCUCCAUCCUAUAUAUAUCCUCAUAUAUUAGAAAAAAAAAAUAAAUUUUAUUCUUACACAAUCUUGUAACAUACUCCCUAUAUUAUUUUAUUAUAUUUAAAAUUUUGACUGUUCAACUAGUGGAG